rnacentral:rRNA from 1 species
AGGCACCUACGGGGCGCAGCAGUGGGGAAUAUUGGGCAAUGGGCGCAAGCCUGACCCAGCAACGCCGCGUGAAGGAAGAAGGCUUUCGGGUUGUAAACUUCUUUUCUCAGGGACGAAGAAAGUGACGGUACCUGAGGAAUAAGCCACGGCUAACUACGUGCCAGCAGCCGCGGUAAUACGUAGGUGGCAAGCGUUAUCCGGAUUUACUGGGUGUAAAGGGCGUGUAGGCGGGGAAGCAAGUCAGAUGUGAAAACCA